GAUGAAGAACGUAGCGAAAUGCGAUAAGUAAUGUGAAUUGCAGAAUUCAGUGAAUCAUCGAAUCUUUGAACGCACAUUGCGCCCGCCAGUAUUCUGGCGGGCAUGCCUGUCUGAGCGUCAUUUCAACCCUCAUGCCCCUAGGGCGUGGUGUUGGGGAUCGGCCAAAGCCCGCGAGGGACGGCCGGCCCCUAAAUCUAGUGGCGGACCCGUCGUGGCCUCCUCUGCGAAGUAGUGAUAUUCCGCAUCGGAGAGCUACGAGCCCCUGCCGUUAAACCCCCAACUUUCCAAGGUUGACCUCAGAUCAGGUAGGAAUACCCGCUGAACUUAAGCAUAUCAAUAAGCGGAGGA
rnacentral:misc_RNA from 1 species